rfam:Agrilus planipennis Contig46751, whole genome shotgun sequence.
AAAAAGGGUGUUUACCACUUUAUGGUACACGAACCUUAAUGGUUCGUGGGGUAUGGUAAUCAAGACAUACCCAACACACAAUUUUUGGAAACGUGAGGCUGCUGUUUGUCAUUGAGCAAAGGCGCCUCC